GACGAACGCUGGCGGCGUGCUUAACACAUGCAAGUCGAACGGAAAGGCCCUGCUUUUGUGGGGUGCUCGAGUGGCGAACGGGUGAGUAACACGUGAGUAACCUGCCCUUGACUUUGGGAUAACUUCAGGAAACUGGGGCUAAUACCGGAUAGGAGCUCCUGCUGCAUGGUGGGGGUUGGAAAGUUUCGGCGGUUGGGGAUGGACUCGCGGCUUAUCAGCUUGUUGGUGGGGUAGUGGCUUACCAAGGCUUUGACGGGUAGCCGGCCUGAGAGGGUGACCGGCCACACUGGAACGGAGAGACGGCGCAGAGGCCUAAGGGAGGCAGCAGUGGGGAAGAGGGGGCAAGGGGCGCAAGUGGGAUACAGCGAUACGGGGUGGGUGAAGAAGGCCUGGGGGUGGGAAAGCCGGUUUGGUGGGAAAGAAAAGCAGCAGGUUAAGACGCCGCUGGUCUGACGGUAACGAAAGAAGAAGCACCGGCUAACUUAGUG
rnacentral:rRNA from 1 species